rnacentral:rRNA from 1 species
GAUUGGUGCCUUCGGGAACUCUGAGACAGGUGCUGCAUGGCUGUCGUCAGCUCGCUGUUGWRAARUGUUGGGUUAAGUCCCGCAACGAGCGCAACCCUUAUCCUUUGUUGCCAGCGGUUCGGCCGGGAACUCAAAGGAGACUGCCAGUGAUAAACUGGAGGAAGGUGGGGAUGACGUCAAGUCAUCAUGGCCCUUACGAGUAGGGCUACACACGUGCUACAAUGGCAUAUACAAAGAGAAGCGACCUCGCGAGAGCAAGCGGACCUCAUAAAGUAUGUCGUAGUCCGGAUUGGAGUCUGUGACUCGACUCCAUGAAGUCGGAAUCGCUAGUAAUCGUAGAUCAGAAUGCUACGGUGAAUACGUUCCCGGGUCUUGUACACAC